GACGUAGGGCGCGAGCGUUGUUCGGAUUCAUUGGGCGUAAAGGGUGCGUAGGUGGCGCCGUAAGUCAGGUGUGAAAUCUCGGGGCUUAACUCCGAAACUGCAUUUGAUACUGCGGUGCUUGAGGACUGGAGAGGAGACUGGAAUUUACGGUGUAGCAGUGAAAUGCGUAGAGAUCGUAAGGAAGACCAGUGGCGAAGGCGGGUCUCUGGACAGUUCCUGACACUGAGGCACGAAGGCCCAGGGGAGCAAACGGG
rnacentral:rRNA from 1 species